rnacentral:rRNA from 1 species
GACGAACGCUGGCGGCGUGCCUAAUACAUGCAAGUCGAACGCAGUGGGGACGGGUGAGUAACCCGUGGUUAACCUCCCAUUAGCGGAGAUAACACUUGGAAACAGGUGCUAAACCGAUACUGAUGGAUGGACCCGCGGUGCAUUAGCUAGUUGGGAAGGUAACGGCUCACCAAGGCCACGAUGCAUAGCCGACCUGAGAGGGUGAUCUGCCACACUGGGACUGAGACACGGCCCAGACUCCUACGGGAGGCAGCAGUAGGGAAUCUUCGGCAAUGGGCGAAAGGCUGACCGAGCAACGCCGCGUGAGUGAUGAAGGUCUUCGGAUCGUAAAACUCUGUUAUUAGAGAAGCGGUAUCUAACCAGAAAGCCACGGCUAACGACGUGCCAGCAGCCGCGGUAAUUC